rnacentral:lncRNA from 1 species
ACGCUUUCGAGCUAGAUAAAGACAUUGUUGGUGUCGCUGCCUCUGUUGAUGAAGUUGUACUCCACCAUUGCGUUUACUAGUAGACAUGAUGAUUAGUCAAGGAGUAAGUCGAUCUCGGCUCCACAAAUAAUGCUGCGAUCUACUCCACCAUUGCGUUUACUAGUAGACAUGAUGAUUAGUCGAGGAGUAAGUCGAUACAGUCCAUAAUGUUGCGAUCUACUCCACCAUUGCGUUUAAGUCCAAUAGAUGCCAAACUUUUGUAUGCAAGUACUCACUUAGGAGGCAAGCCUUCACAAGUUGGGCUGUCCUCGCAUCUCGAUCUUCUCAACAUUCUCACC